AACGGCCAUACCAUGCUGAAUAUACCGGUUCUCGUUAGAUCACCGAAGUCAAGCAUCAUUGGGCACGGUCAGUACUUGGGUGGGUGACCACCUGGGAACACCGCUUGCCGU
rnacentral:rRNA from 1 species